rnacentral:lncRNA from 1 species
AGACUCCAAAAGUGAAAACAAUUCAUCACUAUAGACCCCAUUGACAAGAAAUGUUAAAGGAAGUUCUCCACAGCACAACGCCACAUGUUCCUGAUCCCAUAGGCAUAGAUGGCGGGGUGGGCCCCUGGCUCAGAAACAAAUGGAUUGUCCGAGGGGACUCGGUACCGCUUGCCAUGUGAGCCUGCCCUGUUCACAUCGAUCCUUAAAACUUUUCCCAGCAGGGAACUUCUGAAAGAAAGAAGGCCAAGAAGCAGAAUGAGGUAAGCAAGGAAAGCCACAGGACUGGAAGAGAUCGCCCAGAAGGGCCGACUCAUAGCUGAUGCCAAGAGACUGCUAAGGAUCCCAUGGGAAGAUUUGACUUCUUAUUUUCCUUCUUUUUUUGUACCCGCAAGUAUGAGCUUGAAGAUU